UACGGGGGGAGCAAGCGUUGUUCGGAUUUACUGGGCGUAAAGGGCGCGUAGGCGGCCACUGCAAGUCAGUUGUGAAAUCUCCGGGCUUAACCCGGAAAGGUCAACUGAUACUGCAGGGCUAGAGUGCAGAAGGGGCAACUGGAAUUCCCGGUGUAGCGGUGAAAUGCGCAGAUAUCGGGAGGAACACCAAUGGCGAAAGCAGGUAACUGGACUAUUACUGACACUCAACUGCGAAAGCUAGGGGAGCAAACAGG
rnacentral:rRNA from 1 species